rnacentral:lncRNA from 1 species
ACCGCAUCUUUAUAAAGGGCCGCCUUGGGGCGCGAAAAGUUCGUGAGGUGUAGUCGCGGCAACCAGGAGGUGCACCCACCACUAGAAUUUGAACAUCCUAAGAACAGGUAUUUUUGUCUCUGCUUUGCUGAUGUAUCCUCAGCAACCGGAACUGCCUGACAUCUGAUCCUUUCUGUGAGACACCAGGCUGUUGAGGAAGAAUCUAUGGCAACAUUGUAUCUAUUAAUAUACAGCUUCUGUAUUUAUCAGGAAAUCCUGGGUGAAAUUUGGUAGUGGGUCCAAUUGCCUGCGUACUUUACUUUGAAAUAAAAUAAUCAGAAAUUUACCUUGUUCCAUAA